GCCCUUAGAGUUUGAUCCUGGCUCAGAACGAACGCUGGCGGCAGGCUUAACACAUGCAAGUCGAGCGCCCCGCAAGGGGAGCGGCAGACGGGUGAGUAACGCGUGGGAAUCUACCCAACCCUACGGAAUAACGCAUGGAAACGUGUGCUAAUACCGUAUACGCCCUACGGGGGAAAGAUUUAUCGGGGAUGGAUGAGCCCGCGUUGGAUUAGCUAGUUGGUGGGGUAAAGGCCUACCAAGGCGACGAUCCAUAGCUGGUCUGAGAGGAUGAUCAGCCACAUUGGGACUGAGACACGGCCCAAACUCCUACGGGAGGCAGCAGUGGGGAAUAUUGGACAAUGGGCGCAAGCCUGAUCCAGCCAUGCCGCGUGAGUGAUGAAGGCCCUAGGGUUGUAAAGCUCUUUCACCGAUGAAGAUAAUGACGGUAGUCGGAGAAGAAGCCCCGGCUAACUUCGUGCCAGCAGCCGCGGUAAUACGAAGGGGGCUAGCGUUGUUCGGAAUUACUGGGCGUAAAGCGCACGUAGGCGGAUAUUUAAGUCAGGGGUGAAAUCCCGCAGCUCAACUGCGGAACUGCCUUUGAUACUGGGUAUC
rnacentral:rRNA from 1 species